rnacentral:rRNA from 1 species
UGCCAGCCGCCGCGGUAAUACGAAGGGUGCUAGCGUUGUUCGGAAUUGCUGGGCGUAAAGAGCAUGUAGGCGGAUGAAUUAGUCAGAGGUGAAAGCCCCAAGGCUCAACCUUGGAACUGCAUUUGAAACUGGGAGUCUAGAGAUCAGGAGAGGUUAGUGGAAUACCGAGUGUAGAGGUGAAAUUCGUAGAUAUUCGGUGGAACACCAGUGGCGAAGGCGACUAACUGGACUGAUACUGACGCUGAGGUGCGAAAGUGUGGGGAGCAAACAGGAUUAGAUA